CGCUGGCGGCAUGCCUUACACAUGCAAGUCGAACGGCAGCACGGGAGCAAUCCUGGUGGCGAGUGGCGAACGGGUGAGUAAUAUAUCGGAACGUGCCCAGUCGUGGGGGAUAACGCAGCGAAAGCUGUGCUAAUACCGCAUACGAUCUCUGGAUGAAAGCGGGGGACUCGCAAGAGCCUCGCGCGAUUGGAGCGGCCGAUAUCAGAUUAGCUAGUUGGCGGGGUAAAGGCCCACCAAGGCGACGAUCUGUAGCUGGUCUGAGAGGACGACCAGCCACACUGGAACUGAGACACGGUCCAGACUCCUACGGGAGGCAGCAGUGGGGAAUUUUGGACAAUGGGCGAAAGCCUGAUCCAGCAAUGCCGCGUGCAGGAUGAAGGCCUUCGGGUUGUAAACUGCUUUUGUACGGAACGAAACGGUCUCUCUUAAUACGGGGGGCUAAUGACGGUACCGUAAGAAUAAGCACCGGCUAACUACGUGCCAGCAGCCGCGGUAAUACGUAGGGUGCGAGCGUUAAUCGGAAUUACUGGGCGUAAAGCGUGCGCAGGCGGUUAUAUAAGACAGAUGUGAAAUCCCCGGGCUCAACCUGGGACCUGCAUUUGUGACUGUAUAGCUAGAGUACGGUAGAGGGGGAUGGAAUUCCGCGUGUAGCAGUGAAAUGCGUAGAUAUGCGGAGGAACACCGAUGGCGAAGGCAAUCCCCUGGACCUGUACUGACGCUCA
rnacentral:rRNA from 1 species